rnacentral:rRNA from 1 species
UACGGGGGGGGCAAGCGUUGUUCGGAAUUACUGGGCGUAAAGGGCUCGUAGGCGGCCAACUAAGUCGGAUGUGAAAUCCCCAGGCUCAACCUGGGAACUGCAUCCGAUACUGGAUGGCUUGAAUUCGGGAGAGGGAUGCAGAAUUCCAGGUGUAGCGGUGAAAUGCGUAGAUAUCUGGAGGAAUACCGGUGGCGAAGGCGGCAUCCUGGACCGACAUUGACGCUGAUGAGUGAAAGCUAGGGGAGCAAACGGG